rnacentral:rRNA from 1 species
GGGUUGUGAGGUUAAGCGACUAAGCGUACACGGUGGAUGCCCUGGCAGUCAGAGGCGAUGAAGGACGUGCUAAUCUGCGAUAAGCGCCGGUAAGGUGAUAUGAACCGUUAUAACCGGCGAUUUCCGAAUGGGGAAACCCAGUGUGAUUCGUCACACUAUCAUUAACUGAAUCCAUAGGUUAAUGAGGCGAACCGGGGGAACUGAAACAUCUAAGUACCCCGAGGAAAAGAAAUCAACCGAGAUUCCCCCAGUAGCGGCGAGCGAACGGGGAGGAGCCCAGAGCCUGAAUCAGCAUGUGUGUUAGUGGAAGCGUCUGGAAAGGCGCGCGAUACAGGGUGACAGCCCCGUACACAAAAGCGCAUGUGCUGUGAGCUCGAUGAGUAGGGCGGGACACGUGGUAUCCUGUCUGAAUAUGGGGGGACCAUCCUCCAAGGCUAAAUACUCCUGACUGACCGAUAGUGAACCAGUACCGUGAGGGAAAGGCGAAAAGAACCCCGGCGAGGGGAGUGAAAAAGAACCUGAAACCGUGUACGUACAAGCAGUGGGAGCACCCUUUGGGGUGUGACUGCGUACCUUUUGUAUAAUGGGUCAGCGACUUAUAUUCUGUAGCAAGGUUAACCGUAUAGGGGAGCCGUAGGGAAACCGAGUCUUAACCGGGCGUUAAGUUGCAGGGUAUAGACCCGAAACCCGGUGAUCUAGCCAUGGGCAGGUUGAAGGUUGGGUAACACUAACUGGAGGACCGAACCGACUAAUGUUGAAAAAUUAGCGGAUGACCUGUGGCUGGGGGUGAAAGGCCAAUCAAACCGGGAGAUAGCUGGUUCUCCCCGAAAGCUAUUUAGGUAGCGCCUCGUGAAUUCAUCUCCGGGGGUAGAGCACUGUUUCGGCUAGGGGGCCAUCCCGGCUUACCAACCCGAUGCAAACUGCGAAUACCGGAGAAUGUUAUCACGGGAGACACACGGCGGGUGCUAACGUCCGUCGUGAAGAGGGAAACAACCCAGACCGCCAGCUAAGGUCCCAAAGUCAUGGUUAAGUGGGAAACGAUGUGGGAAGGCCCAGACAGCCAGGAUGUUGGCUUAGAAGCAGCCAUCAUUUAAAGAAAGCGUAAUAGCUCACUGGUCGAGUCGGCCUGCGCGGAAGAUGUAACGGGGCUAAACCAUGCAC